rnacentral:sRNA from 1 species
AGCACUGUCCUGAAAAGUGGAAUCCACUGUUUAUCCACAGAAUAGGGGUAGCACGGGCAGUUGCACUGCAAGUUUCCCCAGCAUUGCCUUAACCUUGCCCUGGAGGAACCUCUUUUAGAGCUGAUGGAGUGGUUCAGUCUGCAUGUUCAAUCAAUCUUUAGCCUCU